rnacentral:lncRNA from 1 species
GAAAUAUGCCACAACAUCAAGGUAAGUCUACUGAAAUCACAAAAUUUGAAACAAUAAGCGCUAAUAGUUGUGUUUUCUUUUAAAUUUUAGGCCUUGAUUGUUCAACGAGACGGCCCGCGUCGUGCUGGUUUUCAAGGUGCUCCCUCGCUGCCUAGAAGAUGCUGAUGCGGAACAGAAAAUGCAAAAACGUCGCUUGCUCAACCGCAAAUUGACGGCUACGCUGAAGCGCAUGCCGUGUCUGCGGAAUUUGAACCCCGAGCUUUCCAGAGUUCCUUGGAAAAUCCUCCCAUGCACCUGCCAUGUACAUUGCCCCUCCUCCUCGAUGUGGCGUGCAAGAUGGCAGCAGCAGCUGUGGGAGCAGUUGAAGAGGCAAAGAAAGGUCCACUUUAUAAUAGGUUGUAUGUAAAUAAAACUGAUCGAACUCAA